rnacentral:rRNA from 1 species
AGCGAACGCUGGCGGCAGGCUUAACACAUGCAAGUCGAGCGGGCCCUUCGGGGUCAGCGGCAGACGGGUGAGUAACACGUGGGAACGUGCCCUUCGGUUCGGAAUAACUCAGGGAAACUUGAGCUAAUACCGGAUACGCCCUUUUGGGGAACGGUUUACCGCCGAAGGAUCGGCCCGCGUCUGAUUAGCUAGUUGGUGGGGUAACGGCCUACCAAGGCGACGAUCAGUAGCUGGUCUGAGAGGAUGAUCAGCCACACUGGGACUGAGACACGGCCCAGACUCCUACGGGAGGCAGCAGUGGGGAAUAUUGGACAAUGGGCGCAAGCCUGAUCCAGCCAUGCCGCGUGAGUGAUGAAGGCCUUAGGGUUGUAAAGCUCUUUUGUCCGGGACGAUAAUGACGGUACCGGAAGAAUAAGCCCCGGCUAACUUCGUGCCAGCAGCCGCCGUAAAAC